rfam:Gossypium raimondii Chr10_contig_564, whole genome shotgun sequence.
AUUCCAUGAUUUGGGCACUUUCGUAAUAAUUCUUUGUACCUUUCCCAUGCCUCAUACAAUGACUCAUCAUCCAUUUGUUGGAAAGUAGUGAUCUCGUUCCUCAACUU